AGUAACACGUGGGUAACCUGCCCCGAUGAUUGGGACAACCCGAGGAAACUCGGGCUAAUACCGAAUGUGCCCUUCGGCCAUAAGGCCGCUGGGGAAAGGAAGCUUCGGCCUCCGCAUCGGGAUGGGCCCGCGGCCCAUUAGCUUGUUGGUGAGGUAAAGGCUCACCAAGGCAACGAUGGGUAGCUGGUCUGAGAGGACGAUCAGCCACACUGGGACUGAGACACGGCCCAG
rnacentral:rRNA from 1 species